rnacentral:rRNA from 1 species
AAACUUGAGAGUUUGAUCAUGGCUCNNNNNNNNNNCUGGCGGCACGCUUAACACAUGCAAGUCGAACGAAGUAGCAAUACUUAGUGGCAGACGGGUGAGUAUAAUGUGGGAAUCUGCCUUUUGGUUUAGAAUAACUCGGGGAAACUUGAGCUAAUACUAGAUAAGCCCUCACGGGGAAAGCUUUAUGCGCCAAGAGAUGAGCCCGCACUUGAUUAGCUUGUUGGUGAGGUAAAAGCUCACCAAGGCAACGAUCAAUAGCUGUUCUUAGAGGAAGACCAGCCACAUUGGGACUGAGACACGGCC